rnacentral:lncRNA from 1 species
AUUACCUGCCUCUCUCCCCAUCCUUGUCUUUUCAAUAAAUAGGCAGAUUUAAAAAAAAUGUCUCCCUUUUUUUGAAAGUAAGAGGAUUGCUGGUAGGCCCCGAGGCCUCCAUCUCCUGUGUCUCUGCGUUACAGGGAAGCGUUCAAGUGGGCCCUGCGCUGAGCCCCUCAGAGCCUCCUUGGAGAAGAAAGGACUCCGUCAGCUGCUGGGGGCGCCAGUGGCUGAUGCACCCAGCUGGCCACCCAUCAGAAUGGCGUCUGUGGCAGAGCACCCCCUUGACCAAGGCCGUGGCCCCUUUCCUGGGCAGCCUGCAUUCAGCAACUGGUGUUGGUCCCAAAUGUAAGAGCAGCCGUGGGAUGUCGUCCCUGGCUGGGUGUCCACUUCCCUGCACCUCACCCCGGGGAGGAAGAGCAGGAGCUUUGGCUGGCAGUCGGCCCCUCUGCCACACUGACUCCACAGGCCACGGCCUCGAGGCUCACCUCACAGGAACACCAGGAAGGAGCGCUGUGCCACACUCCUCCCGCAGAUUCAGGAAGCGCAUCAGAGAACAAAGAGGACACUGGAAGACCAGCAGGGAACACGUCUGGAAGUCGGGUGGGGCUCCAGGGGACCGCAGGAGGCAGGAUGGCAGCCGCCUGGCCCACUGUUUGGUCUAACCCCCGAGCUGUCCCGUCCUUG